UACGAAGGGGGCUAGCGUGGCUCGGAAUCACUGGGCGUAAAGCGCACGUAGGCGGAUUGCUAAGUCAGGGGUGAAAUCCUGGAGCUCAACUCCAGAACUGCCUUUGAUACUGGCGAUCUCGAGUUCGGGAGAGGUGAGUGGAACUGCGAGUGUAGAGGUGAAAUUCGUAGAUAUUCGCAAGAACACCAGUGGCGAAGGCGGCUCACUGGCCCGAUACUGACGCUGAGGUGCGAAAGCGUGGGGAGCAAACAGG
rnacentral:rRNA from 1 species